UCUCUGCGGCUUCACCUCGGCCAUGCUGCCUUCCCUAGCAGCCUUGGCUCUCUGCCUCCUGUACACUCUGGCCUUGGGCCAGACACUGCAAUUCCAUGAACAUGUCUUUCUCCGAUUUCUGGGCUUAGACAAAGUGCCUUCACCCAAGAAAUUCCAACCUGCGCCUUCCAUCUUGAAGAGAAUUUUCCAGGCUCAAGAGGCAGCAGCCAGCACCGGCAUCUCCAAAGACUUGUGCUACGUGAAGGAGCUGGGCGUCCGUGGAAACAUCCUCCGGCUUCUCCCAGAUCAAGGCUCCUUCUUUUACUCCGAGAACCUUUCGCACGCCCCCUGCCUACAGAAGCUCCUGUCCUUUAACCUGUCUGCCAUCGGGGAUGAGGAGCAGUUGACAAUGGCCCAGCUGGGCCUGGACUUGGGGCCCAGCACUUAUUAUAACCUGGGACCAGGGCUGGAACUGUCUCUGUCCCUGGUUCAAACGGAGCCCCAUGGCACAGACCAGUCCACCCUGAAGAUGGGUAAAAUGUUUACACUGCAGUCAGUACCGUGGCCUCAAGGUGUCCUUCACUUCAACCUGCUGGAUGUGGCUAAGAGGAAUAAUGACCCCCGCAAGAAUUUAGCUUUGUUUCUAGAGAUAGUGGUCAAAGGAGGCAGAGCCUCAGGGGAGAAUUUUCAGCUCGAGGGCACCUGCGCCAGACUGAGACGCUCUCUUCACACUUCACUGCUGGUGGUCACCCUCCACCCUGAGCAGUGCCAAUCUCCCUCCCGCAAGAGGAGGGCGGCCGUCUCUACCUCAAAGGCUGCUUGCAAGAGCCUCUGCCAUCGCCACCAGCUGUUUAUCAACUUCCGGGAUCUGGGUUGGCACAAGUGGAUCAUCGCCCCCAAGGGUUUCAUGGCCAAUUACUGCCAUGGAGAAUGUCCUUUCUCACUGACAAUUUCCCUCAACAGCUCCAAUUAUGCUUUCAUGCAAGCGUUGAUGCACGCUGUCGACCCGGAGGUUCCCCAGGCUGUCUGCAUCCCCACCAAGCUGUCCCCCAUCUCCAUGCUCUACCAGGACAAUGAUGACAAUGUCAUUCUACGGCAUUAUGAAGACAUGAUAGUUGAUGAGUGUGGGUGUGGGUAG
rnacentral:lncRNA from 1 species